rnacentral:rRNA from 1 species
CCUACGGGGGGCAGCAGUGAGGAAUAUUGGUCAAUGGACGAGAGUCUGAACCAGCCAAGUAGCGUGAAGGAUGACUGCCCUAUGGGUUGUAAACUUCUUUUAUAUGGGAAUAAAGCAGGGCAUGCAUACCCUCUUGUAUGUACCAUAUGAAUAAGGAUCGGCUAACUCCGUGCCAGCAGCCGCGGUAAUACGGAGGAUCCGAGCGUUAUCCGGAUUUAUUGGGUUUAAAGGGAGCGUAGGUGGGUUGUUAAGUCAGUUGUGAAAGUUUGCGGCUCAACCGUAAAAUUGCAGUUGAUACUGGCAGUCUUGAGUACAGUAGAGGUAGGCGGAAUUCGUGGUGUAGCGGUGAAAUGCUUAGAUAUCACGAAGAACUCCGAUUGCGAAGGCAGCUUACUGGACUGCAACUGACACUGAUGCUCGAAAGUGUGGGUAUCAAACAGGAUUAGAUACCCGGGUAGUC